ACUCCUACGGGAGGCAGCAGUGGGGAAUAUUGCACAAUGGGGGAAACCCUGAUGCAGCCAUGCCGCGUGUGUGAAGAAGGCCUUCGGGUUGUAAAGCACUUUCUAGUAGGGAGGAAGGUAGUGUAGUUAACACCUGCACUAUUUGUACGUUACCUACAGAAGAAGCACCGGCUAACUCCGUGCCAGCAGCCGCGGUAAGUACGGAGGGUGCGAGCGUUAAUCGGAAUUACUGGGCGUAAAGCGCAUGCAGGCGGCCUGUUAAGUCAGAUGUGAAAGCCCGGGGCUUAACCUCGGAAUUGCAUUUGAAACUGGCAGGCUAGAGUCUUGUAGAGGGGUUAGAAUUUCAGGUGUAGCGGUGAAAUGCGUAGAGAUCUGAAGG
rnacentral:rRNA from 1 species